GCUACUCUUGUAGCCAGGCAAGCAACUGUCAAAUGCUGCAAGAACAGUAAACGUACAAAGCAGAGGAUCAAAUUGCAGCCAAAACUCUGAAUGAAUAUUGAUAAUGAGCUUGGCUGUAACUAAACUAAGCAAAGCUGGCUAGUUGGAAGACAGAAACAGCAGUAUGUUCGGGGUAGCUUUUACAGUAAUUGUUCUCACCUCCAUUUCUGAUGUACAAAGUGGAGAAUUCUGCAUGCCUUUAACAGAAACCGAGUGCCUUCAAAGAAAAAAAUCAAGAUGUUUGCCAAGGAGCAAAUAUUGAAAAGAAAACAGUUUAUUAUACCUGGCUUCUCUUUCCCCGAUAUGGCUGAAAUCUGAAGAAAGGUCUCGACCCGAAAUGUCACCUAUCCAAAUUCUCAAGAAAUGCUGCCUGACCCACUGAGUGAUUCCAGCAAUUUGUGUGCAUUUGAUGGCUGAUAUCCUCUUUGGUAAUUUUGCAUUUUUAAGAGCAUGCCAAACAAACUUUUGUUCGCAUUUGCCUUCAUCAUUCUGCGACUAACCAUGAACAAUUUCAGAGUUAUUAUUACACUUCCUUACAAAAUCAUUUGCUACUUGAUUAUUACUUGAUUGGUAAUUGUUAAUUUUAUAAAUUUGGCAUCUGCCAUUCAUGACACCGUUAUAACAAUGCAGCAAAGAAGCUCCGCGUGGGUUCAGUAGUUGAUAGAGGGUGUGAUCCUGAUAAGGUCAGUUAAUCAAAUCAAUAGCAUUGUGUCCCAGUGCAUCUUCACCAAGACACUGACAACUAUUUUAGUGGAGGAUGCACCUAAUCUUGUUAGUGCAAUGGGUAUGCACAGUGAUGCAGCGAUAGAG